GGAUUUGUAAGGAAGUGCUAUUUCUUAUGCUAAUGACCAGCUUACUGCUAUUACAUUGCUAUAACUGAGACAACACAUAGCAAUGUAUUUGCACAGUGAAACAUGUUAGGUCCCAUACAGAAUAGCUUUCACACAGCGCACACACCUAAUCUCCUUUCUAGCCGAACAUUGUGUGACGGCGGGAUUCUGGAGUGACGGACGGCCCAGCUGAGCCAAUGCAAGAAGACUACCCCCAGCCUGAACCAAUCCGAAGAACCGAUCUUCUAGAAUCAACCUACUUUCUGUUCUGCAUAAAAUAUAAACUUGGUAGCAGGAGGAUGGUUGAAUAACGAUCCGGUCGAAGUGAGUUGAUUUGGGUGUGAGAGGGCGAGUGGUGAAAGGAAGAUUCUAGGAGGACGGGUGAAGACAUUCGGGGGAGGACAACAAUUCUGCUCAACUCGGGAAACUGAUCUAAAGGUGCACCAUAAACAAGCCGAACAUUGUGUGACGGCGGGAUUCUGGAGUGACGGACAGCCCAGCUGAGCCAAUGCAAGAAGACUACCCCCAGCCUGAACCAAUCCGAAGAACCGAUCUUCUAGAAUCAACCUACUUUCUGUUCUGCAUAAAAUGUUUGUGCUAACGGUUAGCUUUCUCUUUGUCUGCU